rnacentral:rRNA from 1 species
AUUGAACGCUGGCGGCAGGCCUAACACAUGCAAGUCGAGCGGAUGAAGGGAGCUUGCUCCUGGAUUCAGCGGCGGACGGGUGAGUAAUGCCUAGGAAUCUGCCUGGUAGUGGGGGAUAACGUCCGGAAACGGGCGCUAAUACCGCAUACGUCCUGAGGGAGAAAGUGGGGGAUCUUCGGACCUCACGCUAUCAGAUGAGCCUAGGUCGGAUUAGCCAGUUGGUGGGGUAAAGGCCUACCAAGGCGACGAUCCGUAACUGGUCUGAGAGGAUGAUCAGUCACACUGGAACUGAGACACGGUCCAGACUCCUACGGGAGGCAGCAGUGGGGAAUAUUGGACAAUGGGCGAAAGCCUGAUCCAGCCAUGCCACGUGUGUGAAGAAGGUCUUCGGAUUGUAAAGCACUUUAAGUUGGGAGGAAGGGCAGUAAGUUAAUACCUUGCUGUUUUGACGUUACCAACAGAAUAAGCACCGGCUAACUUCGUG